rnacentral:lncRNA from 1 species
AAAAAUAAUAAUAAAUACCAACAGGCAUUUUGAGAGACGACUAUGUAUCGAUGACGCGUUCAACGUCAUUUUCGCGCCGUAGUUUUUCUUUCUCCAAAAACCGUCACGGAUAUCAUUAACAAAUGCAUCUACAACGAUUAACUGAACCUUUAACCUGACCGUUUACUAACCGUCCAUCAACUAACCCGUUUAUUGACCGAGUAGUGACGGAAACGACCAACACACCGGUAACUGAGCUAGCAUUAACCGACGAGAAGCUAACAUCGAUGCCCGGUAAUUAAGGCGUAAUGACGGACACAAAGCACUGCAGCACCGCUCAGGUGUCCCUCCACUCUCCAGAGUGCAAAGAUGAGAGCUCAGAUGACGAACCUCUGAGUGAAACUGCCAAAAAACUGACGUCUAAAGGUAAAACAUCACCUAGUGAAGAAGAAAGUCCAUCGAGCACACCCAGAAGGAGCGCGGCAAAGAAAAAAGUUAAAAUCGUUGAGCCUUCGAAUGAAAGUUCAGAUGAUGAGUCGCUGGCACGUAUCAGCAGGAAGAAAACAAACAAGCCUUCAGUAAAAGAGUCUCCAGACAAAGACGAAAACGACAGCUCAGACGAUGAACCUCUGACACCAGUGUCAAAAAAGAAACCAGAAAUAAAGAAUCAAAACAAGAAGUUACUCAAUGAGUCUCAGGAUAAGUCUGACAGCUCAGACGAUGAACCCCUGUCAACAUUAUCAAAGAAGAAGGAAAAUAUUUCAUCUUCAAAAGUCAAAGGAAAAGCACAAACAGCGUCCCAGGAGAAAGACGACAGCUCAGAUGACGAACCAUUGGCUGCUGUAAUGAAGAAGAAAAAAGCCCUAAAAGAGACAAAGACCUCAGGCAAGAAAACAACAACAAAUCAGACCAACAAAGUCCUCAAACAGUCUCCAGAUGAAGGCUACACCAGCUCAGAUGAUGAAUCUCCUGCACUCACUAAGGGCAAAAAAACAAAAAGUCCCAAAGGGAAAAAAAGGGUUUCACAUGGAAAGAAGAAUAAAACCCAUUCAGUCGACGAGUUAGAAGACGAGAGUUCAGAGGACGAACCUUUGAGUAAAAAAGCCAGAAAACUGAGAGAAAAGAAACCGACGGUUAAAGACACUCCAGUAAAACAACCCAGAAGGAGCUCGACCAUGAAAAAAGUGAAAUACGUUGAGAGUCCCAGUGACGGCUCAGAGGACGACACGCUGUCGUCAACAAGGAGCAAGAAAACUUCACGGAAGAACAAACAACAUGAUGGAAGCAGCAGCAACAGCUCAGACGACGAGCCUCUCAUCACCAUUUUAAGCAAAACCAACACAAACAAAUCACCCAAAACUAAAACUAAGGCUUCAAGUGUUAAAAGAAAAGCCUCGACAGACUCAUCAUCAGAGGAGGAGGAGCCUUUACUUAAAGCAGCCAAACAUCCACAAGUGACCAAAAUCCUAAGAGUCCUUCUAGAGCGCUACGAGAACGUGGAGGCCAAAGAAAGCCUGAAGGAAUCGAUCACAGAGAGCACAGAGUCUGUGAUGGAGGAUUCUGAGAUUCCAGAGGAAACGACAGAAGAAAAGACUCUUUAAAUUUUAUUCUUCCCCAAGUAAUACACAUUCCCAUUGUUCAUUGGUGUUAAAAAAGGUUUUAUUCGUUUCAUUUUUAAUGUGUUUUUAGGACCGCUGCUUUUGUAUUCACACAGCGUUUAGAUUAAAGGAUCCAGUUGUUGUAUUAAAUAAAAAGCUUGCACAAGG